UACAGAGGUCUCAAGCGUUGUUCGGAUUCAUUGGGCGUAAAGGGUGCGUAGGCGGCUUCGCAAGUGGAAGGUGAAAUCCCUCGGCUUAACCGAGGAACUGCCCUCCAAACUGCGUGGCUUGAGUCCGGGAGAGGUGAGUGGAAUUCCCAGUGUAGCGGUGAAAUGCGUAGAUAUUGGGAGGAACACCAGUGGCGAAGGCGGCUCACUGGACCGGAACUGACGCUGAGGCGCGAAAGCGUGGGAGCAACGGG
rnacentral:rRNA from 1 species